UGGGGAAUCUUGGACAAUGAGCGAAAGCUUGAUCCAGCGACUCUGCGUGAGUGAAAGAAGGUCUUCGGACUGUAAAGCUUUUUCCGUUCGAGAAGAUAAUGACGGUAUCGAAACAAGGAAGCCCCGGCCAAUUCUGUGC
rnacentral:rRNA from 1 species